rnacentral:rRNA from 1 species
ACGUAGGGUGCGAGCGUUAAUCGGAAUUACUGGGCGUAAAGCGUGCGCAGGCGGUUUGCUAAGACUGAUGUGAAAUCCCCGGGCUCAACCUGGGAAUGGCACUGGUUACUGGCAAGCUAGAGUGUGGCAGAGGGGAGUGGAAUUCCUGGUGUAGCAGUGAAAUGCGUAGAGAUGAGGAGGAACACCGAUGGCGAAGGCAGCUGCCUGGGCCGAUACUGACGCUGAGGCACGAAAGCGUGGGGAGCAAACAG